AUCCGAGUUUAUUGCGCAACAGGUUCAAGGCGAGAUUGAACAGCGAGAAAGGGGUGACAUGAACUUUUGAAAUUUCCCUCCAUGUCCCAGAAUGCAGUGCAAAAUACAUCCCAGUUACAUCAUGAAUACAUUAAGAAGAGGUUGGGUUACACAGAUUACAUCACGAAUACAUUAGGAAGAGGUUGGGUUACACCGGCUUAACAUAUGGAGGAGGGAGGGGGGAAUAUGCAGAGCUGGAGAUAUGCGCAGAUAAGCACAUCCCGAGAAGACAAUGGUCCAUGUAUGCAUAGUCUGCCACCUGGCAUCGCCCGCAG
rnacentral:lncRNA from 1 species